GUGCUGAAUUAUUCGCCAAUGCGCGAAAGCGUGACGGUGCGACGCCGCGUGCGGGACGAAGGCCUUCGGGUUGUAAACCGCUGUCAAGGUAUAGAAAACCGUCGGAGUUAAUAGCUCCGGCGCUGAUCCUACCUAAAGGAAGCACAGGCUAACCUCGUGCCAGCAGCCGCGGUAAUACGAGGUGUGCGAGCGUUGUUCGGAAUCACUGGGCAUAAAGGGUGCGUAGGCGGUGCGCCAAGUCGGGUGUGAAAUCCCUUCGCUUAACGGAGGAACUGAAUUCGAUACUAGCGUGCUAGAGGGUAAAAGGGGCAAGCGGAAUUCUAGGUGUAGCGGUGGAAUGCGUAGAUAUCUGGGAGAACGCCGAGGGCGAAGGCAGCUUGCUGGGUUACCUCUGACGCUGAGGCACGAAAGCUAGGGGAGCAAACAGGAUUAGAUACCCCGGUAGUCC
rnacentral:rRNA from 1 species